CGCGGCCUAUCAGCUUGUUGGUGGGGUAAUGGCCUACCAAGGCGACGACGGGUAGCCGGCCUGAGAGGGUGACCGGCCACACUGGGACUGAGACACGGCCCAGACUCCUACGGGAGGCAGCAGCAGGGAAUUUUGCACAAUGGGCGAAAGCCUGAUGCAGCGACGCCGCGUGGGGGAUGAAUGCCUUCGGGUUGUAAACCCCUUUCAGGAGGGACGAAGCGAAAGUGACGGUACCUCCAGAAGAAGCCCCGGCCAACUACGUGCCAGCAGCCGCGGUAAUACGUAGGGUGCAAGCGUUGUCCGGAAUUACUGGGCGUAAAGAGCUCGUAGGCGGUUUGUCACGUCGUCUGUGAAAUCCUCCAGCUCAACUGGGGGCGUGCAGGCGAUACGGGCAGACUUGAGUACUACAGGGGAGACUGGAAUUCCUGGUGUAGCGGUGAAAUGCGCAGAUAUCAGGAGGAACACCGGUGGCGAAGGCGGGUCUCUGGGUAGUAACUGACGCUGAGGAGCGAAAGCAUGGGGAGCAAACAGGAUUAGAUACCCUGGUAGUCCAUGCCGUAAACGGUGGGCGCUAGGUGUGGGGUCCUUCCACGGAUUCCGUGCCGUAGCUAACGCAUUAAGCGCCCCGCCUGGGGAGUACGGA
rnacentral:rRNA from 1 species